UGUUUCUGUAAACAAAUUGUUGGGUUGAUUGUGCUGGGUCAAAAAGUUGGGUUGUUUGGGGUACUGUAAACACAUUAUUGGGUUGCUCAUGCUGGGUAAAAUGAUUUGUAACGGGGUCAUUAACAAAUAAACAGUUGGUUGGGUUAUUUUGACCCAGCAACUGGUUUAUUACUUUUUCAUUCUUUGCGGAACUUUCUGGAUUCUUCACUUCUGACUGGAGGAGGCACGCACUCGGAGCGGGCAGUGUUUUAUGCUGCUAAAGAGGAGACAGCUUUGAAGGUCCUGCCAACUCUGCUUCCCUCAUCCAUCUACAGGAGAGGAGGAAAGGUAUUCAGACCCACCACAGAGGAGGCCCAGAAGUCAUUUAUUGACAUGCAACCUGUUGGGACCAACAUGGUUGAAUAUUUAAACCAUGAGAUGACUGGAGCAUUGCUGCACAUUCUGUGCCUCAGUGAUGAGACAAGGGGGACAUCACAGACCUUUGCCAUUAUUCCAGACCACGUCAUUGAGACUGAGUCUUUGUUGGAGGCGGUUGAUCUUUGCUUUAAAGCUUUUUUUGUUUUUGAUGUUCAGUACACCAAGCAGUGUCUCCCCACCUGGGAGUUUCUCCAGCAUGCUGUGUAUCAAAUUGAAGGAAA